rnacentral:tRNA from 2 species
GGAGGGGUGGCCGAGUGGCUGAAGGCGCACGCUUGGAAAGCGUGUAUGCGGGUAACCGUAUCGAGGGUUCGAAUCCCUCUCCCUCCGCCA